UGAAAGUUGCGUCAUGGGCGUUCCGCUUUUUUCGGGUUACGUGAUUUCCUGCGGCCAUUUUGGGUCUAGGCUCAGCUAAGCUCAGCGCGUUUACAACACUGCGAGCGACCGAUUUCUUUUAUUUUUACUCCUGAUUAUUUCGAGUAUUUCUUUAUUUCGAAAAUAAACCACCAUGCCAGGGUGUUGUGCCCACGGCUGCAGCAACAGCACUGAUAAAGGGACGCGGAUGUUCCGUUUUCCAAGCGAUGAAGAGCGGCGUUUAUUGUGGAUCAACCGAGUCAGUCGCUUGGACCAAGAGAUGAACAAAACUUGGAGACCUACAACAAACUCUCGCUUGUGUGAGUCUCAUUUUGAUGAGUACCAGUUCGAGCAGAAUCGUACAGAUGGGAAACGUCCCUUGAAGAAGACAGCACUGCCCUCCAUCUUCCACCAUCGUACACCAAAGACACCUCGCCCACCACCAAAGAAGCGUUCUGCUGCACCAUCCGAUGUCAAAGCCAUCAUUGAAGAAAACUCACCUGCCUGAACACUCAUACUGCACCCCUGUACAAGAUCCAGGUCCAGUUGCAUGUGAUGAGCUUAAUGCAGCAAAUGAUGACUUGCAGUUGCUUGAGGAUAUAAGUUGUAAUUUGGGAUGUGGAAAAGUCUGAGUGCACCAACUGUCCCCGUCUUAAGGAGCGCAUCAAAGGCCUUCAGGAGAAACUGAAAUCAACCCAAAGAAAACUUCAAACUCUUAAAAAAGAGAAAUUCAAGGUGGAGGCCAACAUGAACAAGAUCUUUGCUAAGGAUCAAUUUGUGGCUCUAGGAAGAACAAAGAUGAGGGGUGUCAAAAAAGGACUGCAAUGGAAAAAGUGGGUACCAAGAACUUCACUCAAAAGGAUUCCCGUUUCCCAGUGAAAGGACGCUUCAGCGCCGGGUUGAGCACAUUUCAUUCAAUCCUGGCUGGCUGUAAAGCAGCUGUCACUGCAAAUUGUGACAGCAAGUUUGACCACCUCACCACCCUCAAAGAGUUCAAGCCCGGAUCUCUCUUCAAGGUGACU